GACGAACCGUGCGAACGUUGUUCGGAAUCACUGGGCUUAAAGGGUGCGUAGGCGGGCGAGUAAGUCAGGGGUGAAAUCCCACGGCCCAACCGUGGAAGUGCCUCUGAUACUGCGAGUCUAGAGGGAAAUAGGGGCGUGCGGAACUUCCGGUGGAGCGGUGAAAUGCGUAGAUAUCGGAAGGAACACCGGUGGCGAAAGCGGCGCGCUGGAUUUCUACUGACGCUGAGGCACGAAAGCCAGGGGAGCAAACGGG
rnacentral:rRNA from 1 species